rnacentral:rRNA from 1 species
UAGGGAAUCUUCCGCAAUGGGCGAAAGCCUGACGGAGCAACGCCGCGUGAGUGAUGAAGGUCUUCGGAUCGUAAAACUCUGUUAUUAGGGAAGAACAAAUGUGUAAGUAACUAUGCACGUCUUGACGGUACCUAAUCAGAAAGCCACGGCUAACUACGUGCCAGCAGCCGCGGUAAUACGUAGGUGGCAAGCGUUAUCCGGAAUUAUUGGGCGUAAAGCGCGCGUAGGCGGUUUUUUAAGUCUGAUGUGAAAGCUCACGGCUCAACCGUGGAGGGUCAUUGGAAACUGGAAAACUUGAGUGCAGAAGAGGAAAGUGGAAUUCCAUGUGUAGCGGUGAAAUGCGCAGAGAUAUGGAGGAACACCAGUGGCGAAGGCGACUUUCUGGUCUGUAACUGACGCUGAUGUGCGAAAGCGUGGGGAUCAAACAGG